rfam:Aspergillus zonatus CBS 506.65 unplaced genomic scaffold ASPZOscaffold_6, whole genome shotgun sequence.
GGCAAGAUGGCCGAGUUGGUUAUGGCGGCAGGUUCAAGAGAUUUAUUCCUCUUGCCUUAAAAAUCUAAGGUAGAUUUCUGCUUCUCGUGAGGGAACCGGGGUUCGAAUCCCCGUCUUGUCA